UUAUUACUAAUUGGGUGGCCAUGACAUGCUAUGCUAGGUGUUAACCAUGGUCUAUGAGGUGCAUAAAAUGAUUUAGAGAAAUCAUUUAUGGUAAGAAAGAGUUCUGAUGAUAUUAAGAGUUGAUAUCAUGUCUCAUUGCCAAUUAGUGAUAAGCCUAGUAAGUCACACACAUACACAAGUUAUCACCUAUUUAAAUAUGAUUUAAUUAAUUAAUUAAAGAGUUUAAUUGAUUAAUUAAAUAGGUUUGGUUUGCAAUUAAAUUGCAAAGUCCCUAGCAUGACUUGAAACCAAAUCUAGAUUAUUGGAUGUGUAGUAUAAAUUAAAUUUAUAUUUAAAGUGUUUAAAUAUGAAUUUAAUUAAUGAGAAAUUAAUUAAUAGAGAUUAAUUAAUUAAUUUAUAUUUGAUAUAAAUUACUUAGAAGAAGAAAAAUAAUUAUUUUGGGUUAAGAACUCAAAAUUAAGACACAGGGGCAUUUUGGUCAUUUCACAGUGUGACACGUGGCACCAUGAGAUUGUGACACAUGGGAUUACACAUAAGCUUGCAAAAUGUUUUUUUUUAAUCAUGUAAGAUGAUUAAAAUCAAGAUUAAAUAUAGGUUUGACACUUGGCACAAUGUGAUUGGGUCACUUAAACCUAGAGCUAAUCAAAGGGUGACAUGUGGCAAGGGUUUAAUGUGUUAACCUAGCUAUUUAAGUGUUGUUAUGAAAAGAAAAAUAACCAGCAGCCACUCCUCUCCUUUGUCACGCCACUUUGAGGCUUUUCAUCUAUUCUUCUUCAUCUCUCAUCAAUUCAAAGAGAUUAUCCAUCAAUCUCUUGAAUUAAGAACACUAGAAAUUGUUUCUAAUGUCUUGUUUACAUCUUUAAUCUCUUAAAAGGCAGAACUUUAAUUUCUAAUUAAUAGAAAAAGCUUUAGAAGCUGUUCAAGGGCUGUCAUAGGUGUUCUUGGUGUGGACAAGCUAGAGGGACAACAUCUGGUGUCCUGAAGACGAAUCUUAAAGGCGCAAACACGCUGCAGUGCAUCAAGAGGUUGAUAUGGCUACAAAAAAUAAGGGUGCUGGAAGGGUUGCAUGGAGUAGUGAACAAUUUAACUUGUUUGUUAAAAUUUGUGUUCGAGGCACUAAUUUGGGCAAGAGAAAUGGUGGUGGAUGGGGUGACAAAGGAUAUACAUGGUUACAGAAUGAAUUGAGGCAAGUUGGUGUAGAGUAUACUAAAGAGCAAUUAAGGCACAAGUGGGAUUGGAUGAAAGAUCAAUGGAAGAUGUGGAAAGCAUUAAAAGGGAAUGAAACAGAAUUAGGAUAGGAUCCCAUAAAAGGCACAGUUGUUGCUCCUGAUGAGUGGUGGAACGAAAAAAUUAAGGAAAAUUCAAAUUUUGCAAGAUUUCGAGAGAAAGGAAUUGGACAAGAGCUUUAUGAAAACUAUCAAGAAUUAUUUCUAGGAAUUGUGGCUACUGGGGAAUUUGCAUAUGCACCAUCAUCUGGAGUUUUACCUAAUGAAACUUAGGAGACGCAACAAUUUAAUACCGCAGAUCAUGUUGAGGAGAAUAUUAGUGCAGAAUCAAAUUUUGAUGAUAAUUUAAAUGAAAUGAUGAA